rnacentral:snoRNA from 1 species
UUUUCAUGAUGAUCUUUUCAGUUCUGCUUCUGAUUAACAGGAAGACAGCUUACCACAUACUGAGGCUUCUAAUUU